UUGUACUUUUGCUGUACGCUGUCUCUGAAGUUGCGCGUGAAGCAGUAUACUUAGCAAGACUGUUUUGCAAGCUUUGUAAGAUUUUUUUUUUUUAGUGUUUAGACUAAAACUCUUGGUAAGGUUCAUAUAUGGAAAACCGAGAAGAUUUCGGGGAACUGUAUGGACUUGAGAAAAGGAGAAUACUCUGAAUGAGUAGUGACAACCUCGCUUAACUUAAAGUUGGGCUACUCAAAAAGCGAAGACCUGCUACACACAGCGAUUGUUUGUCACUUGUAAUUAUCAUCAUGCUUUAGGUAAGCUCAUUCCAAAUCAAACAUACUGUAAGCAGUAUAACGCGGUGUCAGAAGCAAGUAGUCCACAAGCUUAGAAACCCCAGCUCUGAAUUCGUUCAGUUGCACUAAAAAUAUCGAUUGUUUGGUUUCUUCAAAGGAGGCUGUUACAAAAGUUGUAAGGAGAUUUCUAAAACGUGUACAUUAAUAUCCAUAUCAUCGAACGAACGAAGAAUCGAACAUUAUAUCAUAAGAAUAAAUAGAGGUUUCUACGUUCAUUCUACAGGACAGACUCUUGGAUGCCGUACGUCCAGCCUAGCUGACGAGGUCUGAAUAAACGAAAGGCGUCCUGGGUAGUGACAAAAGAAGGUUGCUGGCUCAUGAGCCCGUUGUCUAAGCAGCCGGACAUCUUUUAUAGUGCUUUCAGGCGAGGGCGGGAUGUAAGUAUUGUGUCAGCAUUCUUAUUUGUCGAAGUGGUGUGUGAAAGUCUCGUAAAGGGAACAAAGAAGAGAGGAUUAUUGUAAAUAUUGGAUAACGUCAGCUGACUUUGACUACCUUGUGUGAUGAAGUAAGUAGUGAUCUCAUUAAGUGACGUCAUACAUCCUACUGAUCAACUCAAAACCGGACAGAACAAGGAAACUCUGUGGUCUGACUCAUUUCAAUGAGUUAGAUCAUCAGUGAUGUACCCUUAAAACCAUACUUUUUAAAGCUAUAAUCGUAUUUGUUUCUUUGAGAUAAAUGGGCUACUAGGUGUUACUAUGGCAACAACAGGAAAUCACUCUGUUGAUACGGUUCGAAGAAAAAAAAGAGGCGAUUCUCCAAUGGGAUGUUAUCAUCCAAGAGUCAACAGCUUGUGGUCUAUUUGGUAUUGCACAAUGGCGAUAGCCUUCCAGAUCUACAUUAUUGUCUGCAGUAUACAACGUUUUAUGAGAUAUAUUGUUUUGUCAUGGCCUGCAAAAGAUCAGCCAUAUUUUGAACUUAAUGCUUACGUUGGUUGUAUAGGUGCCGCUGUAGUUUUGCUUCCUUUCUUCAUAGUGGCCGCCAUAUUUAAGGUUGGCAAUUAUCCAAACGACGGCUGUAAACUUGGAAACGAACACGACGACAACGCUAUUUACCAAAAUUUGAAAAGGAAAACCUCCGUUAGGUGGCUAAAAACAGUGUGGCGACAUGGUGGACCCACUGCUCCGUUUCUUCACAUCUGUUCAGCAUUUUGUCUCUUGAUGCCGAGAGUACUGAUUCAAGCACAAUUGAUCAGACAUGAAUUCCUUCCGAAAAUAUUUCUGGGUCGGAAAGACCAACUUCAGGCAACUGGGCCUAGCUCAGUUUACCCAGUUAUACUUGAAAGUC
rnacentral:lncRNA from 1 species